GAGUCCACAGUCACAAUAACAAGAUCAUUGGGCUGUCCCCUAAUUGUGGUGAGCUACAUGUUUAGUCUCUUAUGUGCUAAACAUUAUGUAGCCUAAGGAAGCAGCCCUGACUCUGGAGUUUAUAUGAAGGAGCAUGCUGAGUAACUAUCCAGAAUGUAGGUCCAAAGCAGAAAAAAGAGCACCAAGCAGAAACAUACCAUCUAAACUCCUUUGAUUCCUGUCAGACCAGAAAGACUUUCAGAAUCCUUGGAAGAUUUAAAGCUAUUGAAGUAUCAGUAUUGGAGCGGAAGAAGACCCAGUUGUAUCGUCCGUUUCCUGCCAUCUUGCAGUUUAACCUGGUUUCUUAAUGUAAAGUACUUGUAAUUUGCCCACUUGUCCUCAAUUAUCUUAAAGCUAACAUUUAAAACUAAUUUGCUAUGAAAUUAUUUGCCAAGACUUCUCACUGUGUGAUUCACAUGUCAAUAUGUAUUAUUGUGUGUAUAACUAGCUAUUUGGAAUUCAAAUGAUUUGUAUUCAUUAAAGAAUCUGUUUUAAU